rfam:Pandoravirus salinus, complete genome.
GCCUCGGUGGCGCAGUUGGCGGCGCGCCAAUCCCAUAAAUUGGAGGUCGUGAGUUCGAUCCUCACCCGAGGUA